rnacentral:lncRNA from 1 species
UGAUUAUUGUUUUAUUUAUUCUACAAAUUCUUUUCAGAAUAAACUUAUAGAAAAGGAUUUGAAUGCAUAGAAAGACUAACUACAUGAGCUUACACAUUAGGGUCACACAAUUAAUUAUAUUCCAAACCACUAAAAAUACCAAAGAAUACUACAAUGCUUUCUUCUACUAACAAUAUUCCUUCAACAAUUAAUGACAACAAAGUAUAACCCUGCACUCUCAAAAAACC